CUGUUUAUAUGGACAAAGUAAGUAUAUAUCUGUUGGCGAUGCUGAAGUUGAAAGAAGUUGGUGAAGUGAAGAAGAUAAAGCAGUAGAAGACAUUAUUAUGACUUUUGAAAAAGUAGUGACAGACAAAAAGGCAUAUGAGGCCAAGGGUUAAUUAAAAGAUUCCAACCAUAUCUAUAAGUUGAUCUGUGAAGAAGUUGAAUGGAUUCCCAUACAUUUGUGUAUUCGCAGGGAAUAAUUUCGUACUGCUUAUUACUGGAAGGUGGGGAUUUUAUUUAUUGUUUUGCCAAAAGCACGCACACACAAGGGAGAGAGAUUUCUGCUUGAGUUAGAAAGCAACUUGGCUACCAUCUCUUACCAACACUUGCAUUUUUGUACUGAACCUGUGUUCUUAAUACUGCCUCUGACACUGCUCUCCAUCCUUCUUACUGAUUUCAGUAAGCUCAGACCAAGCUAAAAGCGUGGGCUCCCUCUGCUGGCUGCGGUGAUGCUCCGAGCCCUUCUCGGGAUGCUCAGCAGGAGCUCUGGACAAAACGAUUGGGAAAAAAUGAGCAUGCAGCUUAUUUUAAACAAUUCAGAUCCUCAACCGGAUAAGGCCCUGAGCAACCUGAUCUGAAGCUGGUCCUGCCCUGAGCUGGAUGUUGAACCAGAUUUCUUCUGUUUGUCUGCUGUAAUAAUGACAUGGGAGAAUGAUUGCUGAAAUAUGCUGUAUCCAAGCCUGUAGCUUGGGUCUUUGCAGUCAUCAGAACAUCUAAAAAAAGUUGACGACUGCUGAAGCUGCAUUGAGAUGAAGUACCUAAUUCACAAAGAUGUCAGAAAAGCUAUUUUCCAGCAUCACCCACUUCAGAUACUGCCUAAAAUUCCCUUGGCAUGGCCCUUGCUGCCCUUGAAGUUGCCACCAGGCCCAUGCAGAAGUGCCCGCAGGCUGAGUAAGAAGGCCCUCUUCUCGCUGGACUUCUGCUGGGUUAUGAGAGUGAGGAGCUUCUCCUUGAAAUGCCUCUCCCACCCAAAGCCAACUUCCUAUUUGCACUCAGUGACCGGAUCCUGACCACCGGAUUGCUAAAUCAAUGUUAUCAUUACUUUACCUUUUGCCUAACAACAUACAGCCAGAAAAUGAGAAGGAGAAACUCCAGGCUCUCUGCAGACACUGCCUUUCCCUUCCCCUGGGAGCAUGGCAGCUCCUACUGCAGUGCACACUGAGAGUCCUUGCAUUAAACCCAGACGUCACUGCUGCUGGGAACACAAAGGUUUGCUGUGAAAGGGAAAGCAGAAAGUUCGACUUUGCCACUUACCACUUAAGGGAGACCAAGGCUCCUGGAUCAGGACAACACACCCCUCUACGUAUUAAUGCAAGCUACCUUUGUCUCAUGGAGGCAGAAAAAUAUCAAAUUGUAUAAGAGUUGUGCAUCCGUUGCUCAGGAAAGUGCAGCUACCCUGUAAUCAGAAAUGUUUGGUAAGGGAAAUAAUACUUAUGCACCAUAUACUUUAAAAUGUCCAGUUAAUUCAAAUGCUGUUUAGAUUUAAGAGAAUGAGUAGGUUUCAAGGCUGCCUUUAUAUAGACAAGGCUUCCUUCUACAGAAUUCUAUUGUAUUGCAUGCAAAUUAACUUCAUUGUUUCAUGCAGUUUAGAAUGUUUUCUCUUCCUUUCCCAUCAAACUUUCAAGAUGUUGAUUAUUCUGUUCAUCCCUUGUCAGGGCAAUAUGCUGAAAUUUCAGAAUGGUUGAAAUCUUAACUAUUGUUUUGACACGAGUUGCUCUUUUUGAUCAUUUUUAAAUACAUCAUUUCAUUAAUAAAUGUGUAUUAUUUCAGCUAUACUGCCUUACAUUUUAAGAUUAAAGCUUUGAAAGUAAAACUGAUCAAACAGAAAAUUAAUUAGAAAAUCAUCUAAAUAACUUUUUCCAAUACUUUUGAAAUGCUUUUUUUUUUUUUUUUCUAAUGGGAAAUUCAGUGAAGCUGGCUCAUCUCCCUCUCCAAACAAUUUCAGUUUAAAUCAUUGUGUAUCUUGUGGCAAAGGUAGAUUUCUUAAAAUUUUCCAUUCAGCUUCAUUCCUGGUCCUGGAGGAGUAGGGACUCAUUAUUUCUCAUUAUUUCCUUCAAAGUGAUGAUGGAUAGGUAGUCUGCUUUUUCACUUUUAAGGUAUUAUCUGAUUGUUGAAAAUAUAAACAUAAUACAUUAUAUUAUGUCUUAGUUAUCCAACAGAAGAAUGAAACACAAAAUAUCAUUAUGUUUUUCCCAGCACUGAGACUGUGCAAUCACGUUGUUAUUAUUACAUAGGAUUUACACUGGUGAUAUCACACAAGUAUUUUAUUAUAUCUAUUGAUAUUAGUUUCCAAAGAGGUUGAUUUUGGGGUUUCUUUUUAAAUGUCAGAGGUCUGUGAACACUGUCAGUCUUCAAACAGAAAAUUUAAAGGAAUUCACUAGGUUAAAAAAAAGGCUUGUAAUGAGAUGAAACAUGUUCAGUUUUAGGUUUGCAGAGAACGCUUCAAGCAUUUUAUAUUUUUACAAACAUUGUUAAAAUCCCAUCUGGUGUUUGUGAAGUAUUUUACUAUCUCCUGCUGGGCCAGGCAGACAUUGGUUUUCAUGUCUGUAUGUUUCCAAAACAUUAGAAAAAAAAAAGAAAGAACGGAUCUGGAUCAAGUACAGCAAAAUGAUAGAAUGCCAUAUUUCCAUUCUUUUGCAUUCAGGAACAGAGACAAAUGUCCCGGGUUCCUGCAAAGAUCCAUGAGUUCACAUAGUGGAACCACUUGUGAAAAACGCAAAGGAGUAAAUUUCUCUAAGUAGUUCAACAUUCACCAUCUUGCCCAUGAUAUAUUUUUAUAAGCAAUAAGUACAUAAUUUCUGUUUCAAUUAUAUACUUCAUUUUCAAGGGAAUUCAUUUGGAAAAUAUAAAAGCCAAAUGAAAAUGUGUUCCAUUUUGAUAGACACAUUUUCCCAUUAUACAGUUGACUUUACUUAUUAAUUGAGUGUGGAAAAAAUGAAAACCAAAGCAGAAAUGCAAAGUCCUCCUAAUUAUAUAUUCCUAUCCAUCAUGCAUACCUAUGACCCAGUUUCUCUGAAGUCAAUGGGAACAGUCUAAUUUCUGGUCUUACAAUGCAUUUACAACCAGGAUAAUUUUUAAUUACUUUAAUUCAGUUACUGCAAAGAUAGGAGAG